UACGAAGGGUGCGAGCGUUAUUCGGAAUCACUGGGCGUAAAGGGUGCGUAGACGGUCUGUUAAGUUUGUCGUUAAAGACUCUAGCCUAACUGGAGGGUUGCGAUGAAAACUGGCGUGCUAGAGGAUGAGAGAGAGAAGUGGAAUUCCUGGAGUAGCGGUAAAAUGCGUGGAUCUCAGGAGGAACACCAAUGGCGAAGGCAGCUUCUUGGCUCAUUCCUGACGUUGAGGCACGAAAGCGUGGGGAGCGAACAGG
rnacentral:rRNA from 1 species